GACGAACGCUGGCGGCGUGCUUAACACAUGCAAGUCGAACGGAAAGGCCCUGCUUGCAGGGUACUCGAGUGGCGAACGGGUGAGUAACACGUGGGUGAUCUGCCCUGCACUUCGGGAUAAGCCUGGGCAACUGGGUCUAAUACCGGAUAGGAGCCAUUUUUAGUGUGAUGGUUGGAAAGUUUUUUCGGUGUAGGAUGAGCUCGCGGCCUAUCAGCUUGUUGGUGGGGUAAUGGCCUACCAAGGCGGCGACGGGUAGCCGGCCUGAGAGGGUGGACGGCCACAUUGGGACUGAGAUACGGCCCAGACUCCGACGGGAGGCAGCAGUGGGGAAGAUUGCACAAUGGGCGCAAGCCUGAUGCAGCGACGCCGCGUGGGGGAUGACGGCCUUCGGGUUGUAAACUCCUUUCGCUAGGGACGAAGCUUUUUGUGACGGUACCUAGAUAAGAAGCACCGGCUAACUACGUG
rnacentral:rRNA from 1 species